UAAAACUCGUACCUUUUGCAUCAUGAUUUAGCCAGGUACUAUUUAAGCAAAGAGUCCUUUAGUUUAAACCCCCGAAACCAAGUGAGCUACCCCGAGACAGCCUAUAUGGGCCAACCCGUCUCUGUGGCAAAAGAGUGGGAAGAGCUCCGGGUAGAGGUGACAGAUCUACCGAACUUGGUGAUAGCUGGUUGCCUGAGAAAUGAAUAAAAGUUCAGCCUCGUUUUCCUUUAAUUAAACAUAAAUUAAAUAGAUUAAAUAACUAAAAAAAGAGAAAAAUACGAGAGUUAGUUAAAAGGGGUACAGCCCCUUUAACCAAGGAUACAACCUUGCCCAGGAGGAUAAGGAUCAUAUUUUACAAAACUAGUCGUUUUAGUGGGCCUAAAAGCAGCCAUCUAAGCAGAAAGCGUUAAAGCUCAAACGACCAAACAUUAAUUAUACUGAUAAACAAUCCUAUUCCCCUAAAACUACUAGGCCGUCCCAUGCUAACAUGGGAGAGACCAUGCUAAAAUGAGUAACAAGAAGACACACUCUUCUCCAAGCACAAGUGUAAACCAGAUCGGACAAACCACUGGCAAUUAACGAACCCAAAAAAAGAGGGUAAUGUGAAUAACAAAAAAUACAAGAAAAAUCCACAAAUAAUAAUCGUUAAACCCACACUGGAGUGCUAUCACGGAAAGACUAAAAGAAAAGGAAGGAACUCGGCAAACACAAGCCUCGCCUGUUUACCAAAAACAUCGCCUCCUGCAAAUCCCCAAGUAUAGGAGGUCCAGCCUG
rnacentral:rRNA from 1 species